rnacentral:rRNA from 1 species
GGUUCAUUCAAAUUUCUGCCCUAUCAACUUUCGACGGCUGGGUCUUGGCCAGCCAUGGUGACAACGGGUAACGGAGGGUUAGGGCUCGACCCCGGAGAAGGAGCCUGAGAAACGGUACUACAUCCAAGGAAGGCAGCAGGCGCGCAAAUUACCCAAUCCCGACCGGGGAGGUAGUGACAAUAAAUACUGAUACAGGGCUCUCUUGGGUCUUGUAAUUGGAAUGAGUACAAUUUAAAUCCCUUAACGAGGAACAAUUGGAGGGCAAGUCUGGUGCCAGCAGCCGCGGUAAUUCCAGCUCCAAUAGCGUAUAUUAAAGUUGUUGCAGUUAAAAAGCUCGUAGUUG